UACAGAGGGUGCGAGCGUUGUCCGGAAUCACUGGGCGUAAAGGGCGCGUAGGUGGCUCGGUUAGCGUGUGGUGAAAGUCCGGGGCUCAACCCCGGAUCUGCCGUGCGAACUGCCGGGCUCGAGCACUGUAGAGGCAGGUGGAAUUCCGGGUGUAGCGGUGGAAUGCGUAGAGAUCCGGAAGAACACCAGUGGCGAAGGCGGCCUGCUGGGCAGUCGCUGACACUGAGGCGCGACAGCGUGGGGAGCAAACAGG
rnacentral:rRNA from 1 species